GUCUACGGCCAUACCACCCUGAACGCGCCUGAUCUUGUCUGAUCUCAGAAGCUAAGCAGGGUUGGGCCUGGUUUGUACUUGGAUGGUAGACCGCCUGGGUAUAACAGGUGCUGUAGGCU
rnacentral:rRNA from 1 species